rnacentral:rRNA from 1 species
AAUGAACGCUGGCGGCAUGCCUAACACAUGCAAGUCGAACGAAGGCUUCGGCCUUAGUGGCGCACGGGUGCGUAACGCGUGGGAAUCUGCCCCUUGGUUCGGAAUAACAGUUAGAAAUGACUGCUAAUACCGGAUGAUGACGUAAGUCCAAAGAUUUAUCGCCGAGGGAUGAGCCCGCGUAGGAUUAGCUAGUUGGUGUGGUAAGAGCGCACCAAGGCGACGAUCCUUAGCUGGUCUGAGAGGAUGAUCAGCCACACUGGGACUGAGACACGGCUCAGACUCCUACGGGAGGCAGCAGUGGGGAAUAUUGGACAAUGGGCGAAAGCCUGAUCCAGCAAUGCCGCGUGAGUGAUGAAGGCCUUAGGAUUGUAAAGCUCUUUUACCCGGGAUGAUAAUGACAGUACCGGGAGAAUAAGCUCCGGCUAACUCCGUG